rnacentral:rRNA from 1 species
GCUUAUCACCAUUCCAGAUUGAAUAUACCCGAUCUCGUCUGAUCUCGGAAGUCAAGCAAUCUCGUGGCUUGGUUAGUACUUGGAUGGGUGACCGCUUGGGAAUACCAUGUGUGAUAAGCA